rnacentral:rRNA from 1 species
ACGAACGCUGGCGGCGUGCUUAACACAUGCAAGUCGCACGGAAAGGCCCUGCUUUUGUGGGGUGCUCAAGUGGCGAACGGGUGAGUAACACGUGAGUAACCUGCCCUUGACUUUGGGAUAACUUCAGGAAACUGGGGCUAAUACCGGAUAGGAGCUCCUGCUGCAUGGUGGGGGUUGGAAAGUUUCGGCGGUUGGGGAUGGACUCGCGGCUUAUCAGCUUGUUGGUGGGGUAGUGGCUUACCAAGGCUUUGACGGGUAGCCGGCCUGAGAGGGUGACCGGCCACAUUGGGACUGAGAUACGGCCCAGACUCCUACGGGAGGCAGCAGUGGGGAAUAUUGCACAAUGGGCGGAAGCCUGAUGCAGCAACGCCGCGUGCGGGAUGACGGCCUUCGGGUUGUAAACCGCUUUCGCCUGUGACGAAGCGUGAGUGACGGUAAUGGGUAAAGAAGCACCGGCUAACUACGUG